UCCUCUGGCGAUCGAGACCGCCCCGGGACGCAGGAGGAGGGGCGCGGCGGCGCCGGAAAGUUCAGCUCUGCCCAGGCGAGUGUGCCCGUGGGCCGGAGGAGGGACAGAGGCAGGUCGGCCUGUCUGCCUGGACGAGGACCUGGGCGCCAGGCAGCCCCGGAAGGGCCUGGAUGAGGCUGCUGGACAGGGCAGCGGGGCACCCUCCUCCCGGAGCCCACGCUUCUGGUCUGAGGCUCGGAUCCCCACUGCCUCCUGCGCGCGGAGGAGGCGAGAAGCGCCCGGAGACGGGGGCCACAGACGGCACCCCGCAGGCUGCCAUUCCUUCAACCAAGAUGUAGAGAACGCCGUGGACAAAAGCUUAAAAAAAAUUCUGAAACCUCUGCCCGUGGAAGUCAACAUUUUUGCGGAGCAGAGAGCCCAGGCACAAAAUAAGAAGGCGGAAGAGACGGACUGGGGGGGGUAGGGGGACUGCGGCGGGGAAGAGCAGGGAGGGCGGCGGGAGGGCAGGUAGUGCGGCGGCGAGGGCGCAGGAAGCCCGAAGCCGGGCGGUUUCCCUCUCCCAGGUCAAGCUGAGAGAUGGGGGUUGGGGGGAUUUAAAAUCGCGCGCCUGGCAGGGGCGGGACGGCGGCCACCUGCCCUCCGGCGGGAAGGGCUGGGCAGGGCCCGCGGCGCGCAGGGUGGAGGCACCAACGGUCAGCACACAGGUGAGGUGGGGCGCGUAAUCCCAUCUGAGCCGGACUCUUUAGGACGAGUCCCGUCCCUGGAGCCAGAAAACCCGGUCCAGCGCCAGCGUGGACGUGCGCUUCCCGGAACGCGCUCAGGGACGCCUGCUAGGACCAGCGAGGCUGGAGGGGUCGCGAUGUUGGGGGCUGAGGUUCCUCUCCCCCGGCCGGACGGCUGCUGGUAGGGGACCGCAUCGCCCGGCAGGUGAGGAGGGCGCAGGUGAGCCGGGCGGGCGGGCUGCGGGCAGCGCCACCUCCUUCCGGAGGCCCUCCCUGAUGGACCGGCCGGGCUCCGUGCGCCUCUGGACCUGCGGCUGAGCUCCGGGGCUGCGCCGCGCUGAUUAGCUGACGCCGGGCCAAGCGCUGCACCCCCGGGCCGGACGCACCUGAAUGCCGCCGGAUUGCGGGGAGGGGAACGGCCCCCGGAUACCGCGUGGAGGCUGUGGGAGGAUGGGAAUGGGUCCUGGAGGAGCAGAGCCUCCGAAAUUAAGGUCUCCCAAGAGCGCGGCCGGUCAUCCGCUGCGGCGAAGGGAAGGUGCCCCGUCGGUGGGUCCAGACCCGGCAGCCCCCAGUGCCCCCCGGGGGCGGUGGGAGAGGGGCCGACACUGCAGGGCCCGCCGUGCUGUGGCCGAGGGGGCAGGUCCAGGCUCUGCUUCCCGGGCAGACGCCAGAGACCCCCAGCAAGCCAAGUGCUGCGGGCAGGUCCCCCGAGAGAGGGGACUCCGCGUGGAGGGCACAGCCAGGCAGGGGGCAGGAAUGCAGCUGCGCCAGAAGGGGUGGCCGCGGGGGAGGGCGCCAGGACCAGCCCAGGAACCUCGGAGACUACGGGAGACAACGGUAAGCGGUGGCUGGUUCAGAUCCCAGCCCCGGAGCUGUGUGACCUCAGCAAGUUCCUUAGCCCCUUGGUGCCCGCAUCCCCUGACCUGUAACAUAUACGUGAAUGCGGGGUGGUUGUGAGUGAACACACAGCACACCGGCACAUGGGUCACGACACUCAGAGGAGUUUAGAUGAAGAAACAGAAAAACCCUUGGGAAGUUUCCUGUAGUCAAAGGAAGGUUUCAUUUUCCCCCUCAACCGUGACAGUUUCUUGGACCAGCAGGAUAUGCUUUUGUUCUAGGGGUGUGGAGAGAAGGCCCCUUGGCAGUGUCCAGGGCCAACUGGGAACCAAGCAGGAAUCGUAUUUGUGCAGCCUGGGGUUUGAGGCUCUGGGUACAAGUCAUAGUGCUUAAGCAGGAAGCAGCUGCCGGAUGCUCCCAGCCCCAGACCGCGGGGAUCUUCUGAUCUCUGCCUUGAUGCACCUCCAGGCCCCGGUCCCUUUGGGGUCUGGCACAGCAACCUGCGUUUGACAGCAUGGGCAUCGGCUGAUGCUGAGAGCUUCACUCUUGGUCCGAGGAAGAUCUUUUCUCUUCGGGUGUACAGUCAUAUGUUCAUACGUUUGGUACAGUCAUAUGUAUCAAAAGGAUACAUUCCUUCUGAGAAAUGCGUCCUUAGGUGAUUUUGUCCUUGUGUGAACACAGAGUGCACACACCGACCCUGGUGGCCCAGCCCGCUGCACGCGGAGGCUGUAUGUCACAGCCUGCUGCUCCCGGGCCACAAGCCUACAUGGCAGGUGACUGUGCUGAACAGCGUAGGCAGCUGUGACUCACUGGUAUUUGUGUAUCUAAAGCCAUCUAAACAUAGAACAGGUGCAGUAAAAAUACCGCGUUGUGA